rnacentral:rRNA from 1 species
CCUACGGAGGGCAGCAGUGUGGAAUAUUGGACAAUGGGGGCAACCCUGAUCCAGCCAUGCCGCGUGUGUGAAGAAGGCCCUCGGGUUGUAAAGCACUUUCAGUGAGGAAGAACGCCUGGUGGUUAAUACCCAUCAGGAAAGACAUCACUCACAGAAGAAGCACCGGCUAACUCCGUGCCAGCAGCCGCGGUAAUACGGAGGGUGCGAGCGUUAAUCGGAAUUACUGGGCGUAAAGCGCGCGUAGGUGGCUUGAUAAGCCGGUUGUGAAAGCCCCGGGCUCAACCUGGGAACGGCAUCCGGAACUGUCAAGCUAGAGUGCAGGAGAGGAAGGUAGAAUUCCCGGUGUAGCGGUGAAAUGCGUAGAGAUCGGGAGGGAUACCAGUGGCGAAGGCGGCCUUCUGGACUGACACUGACACUGAGGUGCGAAAGCGUGGGUAGCAAACAGGAUUAGAUACCCCAGUAGUC